rnacentral:rRNA from 1 species
CAGUCGCCGCGGUAAUACAGAGGUCUCAAGCGUUGUUCGGAUUCAUUGGGCGUAAAGGAUGCGUAGGUGGCGGUGUAAGUCUAACGUGAAAUCUCGGGGCUCAACCUCGAAAUUGCGUCGGAUACUGCAUUGCUAGAGGAUUGUAGAGGAGAGUGGAAUUCAUGGUGUAGCAGUGAAAUGCGUAGAUAUCAUGAGGAAGACCAGUUGCGAAGGCGACUCUCUGGGCAAUUCCUGACACUGAGGCACGAAGGCUAGGGGAGCAAACGGGAUUAGAUACCCGGGUAGUCCCUGUCUCUUAUAC